GCAGGUAUUUAAGUAUUUUAGUAACUGUGUUAAAUAAAGUACGGUAGUAUUUACUUUUAAAAUAAAUGUAUUGCUUAUUUAUAUUUUUACAGGUUGUACCUUGCAGCCAUCCAUUACAAUGUCACCAAGCCGUAACAAAAGCAGGAGAGGGAAAGUACAAGGAUAUGUUCCCAAAACACACAAGUGACAUACUUUAUGUGGAUGAUGUGAUCAGGCUUGUGUUUGCUGAGGUAUUUGAAGAUAAGCUGAAGGAAACCCCGAUUCCAAUGGACCUGGCAUCACAGUUUGAGAGACCUUCAAAGGAGGACGUGAUUGCAUGCCAUCUUCAGUGCAGGGGUCGUCGGAAGCCAACAUUCCGAUCAGGAAGCUCCAAGCAUAUCUGGAGAACAACACACGACAGGAUGAUAACCCUAAAGUGUCGUCUUAGAUAGCAUCAGCUGACAAAGCUUUGAUAUGCCAUUUAUCUGAAUAGAUAGCUGUAAGAAGUGAAUUGAAAAAUUUUUGAAAGAAGAGCACAAUAUGGUUACUAAAGUAUGUUUAUUUGUAUAUUGUUUAACAUUUAAAUAUAUAUUUGUAAUAAAUAAACUUUUGACUGACUACUA